ensembl:lncRNA
GCGCUCCCUCGGCCCCAGCGCCCGGACCCGGGGGGCGGCCCGCGCGCCCCGCGCCCACGGGGGCCCCGCCUCCGGGCGGGCCGGCUGCUGGGGGGGCGCACCCCGACUUCCCCGGGGUCACAUGGGCUGCGGGGGGCGGGAGCGCCGGGAAAGGGGGAGGCGCGGGGAGCUCGCUGCCUGCCUGCCUGCUCGCUCGAGCCGGGGACGAGACGCCCCCCACCCCUCCAGCUCGGCCUCUCCAUCCAAGUUCCCGGUCCCCGGCCGCCCGGAUCCGGGGAUGGCAACCGCCGCCCGCCCGCCUCUGCGCCCUUUUUUCCAGCCGCCGCGCAGAAAUUUAGGUCAAGGACGUCGGGAUCAAACCCAAACCCUGGCGCUCCUUGGGCGCUCCCGGAGACCCCCAGAACGGGGGGCGGGGGGCUUUCAGGAUGGUGCGGACACCCUCCGCACAAACCCCAGCCACAAGUUUUAUUUUCCUUUCGCGCUGGAAGUUCUGUCUGGCUCUCGAUCCACACCGGCACGUCUUGCGCGGCUCCCCGCCCUUCCCCGGCAGAGGUACGAAUCCGUGCCCGGGGAAGGUUAUUUUGGAACUUUGAGGAAACGGACGCGAUUCCAGUGGAACUUUUGUAUCCACGUCCAUAAGUCAAUCAGGCUGCAGUUUUGCCUUCUCAUGUUGCCUUUCUCUGGUUAUACUGGCCUCAAAAAAUGAACUGAGACUAAAACAGCAACGGUGACUGACAACUCCUUGUGCGUUCCUCCCCCGUUUGCUCACCUAAAGAAACUGCCAGUCUCAAUCUUGUCGCUGAGCUGAUUAAGAAGAAAGCUGACUCCUACCUUCCAAUCUUGUGUCCAUUUCAUCUGCUUCCAAACAUAAAGCCGCCCGCUGCUUUUGCAAGAUCUUGGCUGGUUUAAAAAGGCAGAUUCGGGAUUUGUGUGCAGGAUUUCAGGAAUGUGGGGUCUUCUGGUUUGU